CCUACGGGAGGCAGCAGUGGGGAAUAUUGCACAAUGGGGGAAACCCUGAUGCAGCGACGCCGCGUGAGUGAAGAAGUAUUUCGGUAUGUAAAGCUCUAUCAGCAGGGAAGAAAAUGACGGUACCUGAUUAAGAAGCCCCGGCUAACUACGUGCCAGCAGCCGCGGUAAUACGUAGGGGGCAAGCGUUAUCCGGAUUUACUGGGUGUAAAGGGGGCGUAGACGGCAGCACAAGUCUGGAGUGAAAGGCCGGGGCUUAACCCCGGAACUGCUUUGGAAACUGUGCAGCUAGAGUGCAGGAGAGGUAAGAGGAAUUCCUAGUGUAGCGGUGAAAUGCGUAGAUAUUAGGAGGAACACCAGUGGCGAAGGCGGCUUACUGGACUGUAACUGACGUUGAGGCUCGAAAGCGUGGGGAGCAAACAGGAUUAGAUACCCGCGGUAGUC
rnacentral:rRNA from 1 species